rnacentral:rRNA from 1 species
AUUGAACGCUGGCGGCAGGCCAAACACAUGCAAGUCGGGCGAGUGGCGGACGUGUGAGUAAUGUAUGGGGAUCUGCCUGAUGGCGGGGGAUAACUACUGGAAACGGUAGCAAAUACCGCAUACCCUCAGAUUAACCCAUAUGGGAUUAGCUUGUAGGUGAGGUAACGGCUCACCUCGGCGACGAUCCCUAGCUGGUCUGAGAGGAUGAUCGGCCACACUGGAACUGAAGCACGGCCCAGACUCCUACGGGAGGCAGCAGUGGGGAAUAUUGCGCAAUGGGCGCAAGCCAAAUGGAGCAAUGCCGCGUGUGUGAUGAAGGCCUUCGGGUUGUAAAGUACUUUCAGUAGGGAGGCGAUACCGAAAGAAGAAGCACCGGCUAACUCCGUGCCAGCAGCCGCGGUAAUUC